rnacentral:rRNA from 1 species
AUUGAACGCUGGCGGCAUGCCUUACACAUGCAAGUCGAACGGUAACAGGUCUUCGGAUGCUGACGAGUGGCGAACGGGUGAGUAAUACAUCGGAACGUGCCUAGUAGUGGGGAUAACUACUCGAAGGAGUGGCUAAUACCGCAUGAGAUAUACGGAUGAAAGCAGGGGAUCGCAAGACCUUGUGCUACUAGAGCGGCCGAUGGCAGAUUAGGUAGUUGGUGGGAUAAAAGCUUACCAAGCCGACGAUCUGUAGCUGGUCUGAGAGGACGAUCAGCCACACUGGGACUGAGACACGGCCCAGACUCCUACGGGAGGCAGCAGUGGGGAAUUUUGGACAAUGGGCGAAAGCCUGAUCCAGCAAUGCCGCGUGCAGGAUGAAGGCCUUCGGGUUGUAAACUGCUUUUGUACGGAACGAAAAGCCCCGGGUUAAUACCCUGGGGUCAUGACGGUACCGUAAGAAUAAGCACCGGCUAACUACGUGCCAGCCGCCGCGGUAA